rnacentral:rRNA from 1 species
AGUGAACGCUGGCGGCAGGCCUAACACAUGCAAGUCGAACGGCAGCACAGUAAGAGCUUGCUCUUACGGGUGGCGAGUGGCGGACGGGUGAGGAAUACAUCGGAAUCUACUUUUUCGUGGGGGAUAACGUAGGGAAACUUACGCUAAUACCGCAUACGACCUACGGGUGAAAGCAGGGGAUCUUCGGACCUUGCGCGAUUGAAUGAGCCGAUGUCGGAUUAGCUAGUUGGCGGGGUAAAGGCCCACCAAGGCGACGAUCCGUAGCUGGUCUGAGAGGAUGAUCAGCCACACUGGAACUGAGACACGGUCCAGACUCCUACGGGAGGCAGCAGUGGGGAAUAUUGGACAAUGGGCGCAAGCCUGAUCCAGCCAUACCGCGUGGGUGAAGAAGGCCUUCGGGUUGUAAAGCCCUUUUGUUGGGAAAGAAAAGCAGCAGGUUAAUACCCCGCUGUUCUGACGGUACCCAAAGAAUAAGCAUCGGCUAACUUCGUG